rnacentral:rRNA from 1 species
GACGGAGGAUGCAAGCGUUAUCCGGAAUUAUUGGGCGUAAAGCGUUCGCAGGUGGCUGUUCAAGUCUGCUGUCAAAGACCGGGGCUUAACCCCAGAAAGGCAGUGGAAACUGAACGGCUGGAGUGCAGUAUGGGUAGAGGGAAUUCCCAAUGUAGCGGUGAAAUGCGUAGAUAUUGGGAAGAACACCGGUGGCGAAAGCGCUCUGCCGGACUGCAACUGACACUGAGGGACGAAAGAUAGGGGAGCGAAAGGG